CCCCAGGGCCGGGAUCUGUUGAGGACAGGCAGCAGCGAAAAGAGAGGAUGGGGCACCCCACACCACCCCCGCCGGUAAGGAUCAGAUCCGUUGAGCCAAAAGGGCGGACGCCACCUUCCACGGUUCCCAAUCCUUAUUGGGACACCGACCAUGUUAUGGCCUGGAGGCAUUUCCGUUUGCCUACACCAGUCUACGUCAGAGUGGAUCGUUCAGGGGUGUAUCACUCAUAUCCAGAGCUGCCAGGUCGGCCGUUUCAGAGCUUUCAUGCAAUUGCAAGUGCUCUCCAUACCUAUGCUCGUGGCAGUAGCACUGACACGUCCAAGGAAACAAAAAAGGAGCGUCUCAUACGUGAAUCUCUUGAGUGGUCAGAUGGCACGAGGAAGGUCGCCACAAGUUCGAAAAUAGCUGAGAGGGAAACUGAGAAUGUGCAGACUGGUUAAAGCUUUACUGGACAAGAAGCACGACGAUGAGGGUUUCGAGUAUGAACUCAAAGAUAUUGUGCAUUGGCAAUCAAUCUGCGAAGGUCCCAAUGCAUGGUACUAUCAUCUCAAUAUCAGUAUGAAAACUAAAGGAGCUGAUGAUGAUGUGGGCAGUGUCAACCAAUUCUUCGCUGAAGUCACACUUGAUCAGAGCGAUACGCCAGGAUAUUUUCUCAGCAGUUUCUGCAGAAUUGACCCUAACAGCACGGGUAGUGUACACUCUUAUCUUAAAUUAAGCAUUUUUUGGAAUACUGAUUGAAAUUAGCUGUUAGAUAUAGGUCAGAACAUUGCGGCAGGAUAUUUUCUCAACAAUUUCUGCGGGGUUUAACCCUGACGGCAAGGGUAGUAUACACUCUUAUCUUAAUUAAGCAGUUUUGGAAUACUGUUUGAAAUUAGCUGAUAGAUAUAAUUGUGAAUGCGUUUCUGGUUUAUUGUGGAGCUGUUACUAUUGACUGUUUGCCCAUUGUGCCAUCUUCCACCAUACAUAACUUUAUUUUUGUAAUAUCGCAAUCGAACUGGUUCACGCACAGCCAGUUGUAUGUGCUGCAAUCAAGCAUUUUUUUGCCACUUAUUCAGCUAUUCUCGUGUAUCUGAGCCAGGCUGGUUAUCUUGCACUUAAAUGAUAAAUCUCACUCAUGUCUUCCUUUAGAUGUUCA